CGCAGCCAGGCAGGCUUGAAAGCAGACACAUUUGCAUUGAAAAGUACUGAGGGCAGCGAUCACCAACUUGCCCUGUGACACAACGAUUCACAUUAAGUGGGGGAAAAAGCAGAGUUUGCCAGAUGCAACACCCAGAGGAUCAAGCCAGAGCUGAGAGAGAGACGUAUGGAGAUGCUCUCCAGCUUUACCUGACAAACAGCAACAAAUUUCAAACUGCAGGAACUGCAGACAACAUUAAUCUCCUCGCCUCGGAAUACCAAGCCAGGAUCUCCUCACUGAACAAUGACAUCCAGCAGAAGGGAGCAGAGAUCCACACACUACAAUCACUCCU